rnacentral:rRNA from 1 species
GACGAACGCUGGCGGCGUGCCUAAUACAUGCAAGUCGAGCGCAGGAAGUCAUCCGAACCCUUCGGGGGGACGUUGACGGAAUGAGCGGCGGACGGGUGAGUAACACGUAAAGAACCUGCCCUCAGGUCUGGGAUAACCACGAGAAAUCGGGGCUGAUACCGGAUGGGUCAUCGGACCGCAUGGUCCGAGGAUGAAAGGCGCUCCGGCGUCGCCUGGGGAUGGCUUUGCGGUGCAUUAGCUAGUUGGUGGGGUAAUGGCCCACCAAGGCGACGAUGCAUAGCCGACCUGAGAGGGUGAUCGGCCACACUGGGACUGAGACACGGCCCAGACUCCUACGGGAGGCAGCAGUAGGGAAUCUUCCACAAUGGACGAAAGUCUGAUGGAGCAACGCCGCGUGAACGAUGAAGGCCCUCGGGUCGUAAAGUUCUGUUGUAAGGGAAGAACAAGUGCCGCAGGCAAGGGCGGCACCUUGACGGUACCUUGCGAGAAAGCCACGGCUAACUACGU